rnacentral:rRNA from 1 species
CUCUUGGCUCUCGCAUCGAUGAAGNUCGCAGCGAAAAGCGAUAUGUAAUGUGAAUUGCACUCNACAGUGAAUCAUCGAAUCUGAACGCACCUGCG